CCUGUCUACCUUUGAAGUAUGACCUUGACAUGGGCAUGCUUAAUAUGUGCCUACUUCAACAUGCGAUGGUAGUGCUCAGUUUCUAUAUGAACAGGUGUAAGAAAAAGCGCUUCACUUCAACCAAUACUUUUUAAUGUAGUACUAGUAUUUGCAAACAUUUAUACGUGAUUUUUCUUCACUACCUGAAUUUCCACAUGUUCUCUGGAUGAAUGACUCUUACAGCAUGGCCACAGACACCAGGAAAAGGCAUUUGUCCAGGAAUUAUGUCAGGGUAUUUUGUUUAAUUGUUGCAUUUUGGUUCUAGUAACAGCAAUGUUAUAGCAACAAAAUUAGAAUUGCUAUAAAGAUAUGCUAAAAAAUAAAAUAAAGAUCUGAUCCCU
rnacentral:lncRNA from 1 species